AUGAGCCUUCUCCUUGCUUUGGAGCUCCUGCUAUUCCUCCUUGCCUUGACACAGCUUUCUUGUGCCUCAAAUUCUACGCAUCCAUCACUGGAUCGGCAAGCAGAAGCACUUCUCCAAUGGAAAUCUAGCCUAAGCAAUGGUGACGAUUUGGUCUCAUGGAGAAAGGAGUCCAGCCCCUGUAACUGGGCCGGUAUUACCUGCAGCACUGUGGUGUCUCGUGGCCAUGACCAGGUUGAUGCCGUCCUAGUUGUGUCCAACAUUUCGCUUGGGUGCUGUUACCUUGAAGGCAGGUUGGACAAUAUCCACUUUGAGACUUGCCUCAUCUUAUCUAUCUUAACCUCACCCGGAACAGUCUCUUGGGCCCAAUCCCAUCAAGCAUUGGUGCUCUUGCGGAGCUCACUCACUUGGAUCUAUCCAAUAAUGAUUUGA
rnacentral:rRNA from 1 species